CAACGGUCCAUCUAGCCCAGUAUCCUGUCUUCAGACAGUGGCCAGUGCCAGGUGCCCCAGAGGGAAUGAACAAAACAGAUGGGGCGACCAGAUCUGCACACAGUAUUCAAGAUGUGGGCAUACCGUGGAUUUACAGAGAGAUUGCUAAUUGUGUGGAUGCUGGAAGAUUUGGGAGACGAUGCACUCCCAUGUGCUGUUUUUGC